GGAAUUUAGAGAUCUACUCUUUCGGAUAAUUAUGGAGCAUGAUCUAAGAAUAUUGUUAGAUCGUAGGAUCUAGGUUACGGCGACGGCGAACUUGUCGGGGCUUGAACUGCGUGCGUGCGUUGUCGUCGUCGUCGUGAAGAGAGUGUGAGUUCCCUGAACUGGGUUAGUUAAGCUUUGCGAGGAUUUACGCAUUCCGCGACUACUGCCUCUUGUGCCCGUUGCUGUGCAAACCGAAUAUUAUCAUCAAAGAGGUGGAUGAGUGGGCUAAAUUUAGUCAAGCGCUUCGUCUUUGACGUUGGCGUAAUUUGAGAAUUUAGGGGUUGGUUUAAUGGAUUCGUGACAGCGUGGAGGUUGGUAUCGGAGAAUUGCGUGGAGGAUCUUUGGAGGACUACGGUUCGUGACAUUUUUCAUGAAUGUGAAUUGGAGCCUAGAUUGCAGAUUGAAUCGUCAAUCCACCGUCCUUUUAGUUCAGGGCGAGACGCGAGGUCUGGAGACUCGUGCUCAGAGUGAGAGAGAGAGAGAGAGGGUGAGAGAUUUCGUCAAGCAGUGGAUUGACCUUCAAGUUGCACCCUCUGCUGAUUGUUAGCAUCUCCGAUCAUCAUACCCGGAUUAUGGCGCAGAUUGGGGAUGCUAGUUGUCCACCUCGGGUUUAUGGCUGUGUGUUAGGGGUGCUAGUGGGGCGUACCGUUGGGAUUUUCAAUAGUUUUGAGCUUCUUUACGACCUGGUAGCAGGGGAGCUGUGUCGCGAAUUUCUCGAGGUUAAGCAUCUGCAAUACAAGAAGGUCUUCCCCAAGUAUGACAUACUGGGCUGCUACUCAACUGGUAGUGAUGUCCUGGACUCGUACAUGCAUAUUCAUAAAGCCGUAAGAGUUUGGGAGUCUCAAGAAAUCUAUACAAGUAAAUGAAAUGAGAAUUUCAUGCAUCCCUAAUCGUUUCUUCAGCGUUCAUGGACAUUGAUGAGAGUCCAGUGUAUGUACUGCUGAGCCCUGCUAUCAACCACGCACAGAAAGACCUCCUUAUCAGUACUUUCGAAAGCGAAUUACCCGUGAUUGAUGAAUCUCCUUCCCUUAUUUUUGUUAACGCAAAUUAUACUAUAGAGUACUAUCAAUGAGUUGGUGGACAAAUUCAACGUAGCUUAUGACAAGCAAAACCGGUGGGGUGGAGGGACUACUUUCAUUUGAGUUGUUGAAACUGGCCAGAAUUUGUAUAUGGACCAAUGCUAAGAUACAGGCAGACUUUGUAUGUCUUCAGCAGGAUAGAAUGUGCGAGCAACUACUCUCUGUAAUGAAGGUGAUUAUAGAUGUGAUGCAUAUUUCUUUACCCAAUUGAAGAUACCAGCUUCAGGAAGGUAUCAUGGGUAUGGUUUUAGACACGAAACAGGUUUGACAUGCGAUAUUCUCCUCUCAAAGCAAGAAUCUGAUUGCCAUUGAGCUUCAGAGUAUUUCCGUUACAUGGCAUAAAGCAGUUUCCAUAUUCUAGUGA